GAUGAACGCUAGCGGCAGGCCUAAUACAUGCCAGUCGAACGCGAUCCCGAUCAAAGCUUGCUUUGGUCUGGUGAGAGUGGCGCACGGGUGCGUAACGCGUGAGCAACCUACCCUUGUCAGGGGGAUAGCCCGGCGAAAGUCGGAUUAAUACCGCAUGACAUCAUUGAGAGGCAUCUUUCGAUGAUCAAAGAUUUAUCGGACAAGGAUGGGCUCGCGUGAUAUUAGCUAGUUGGUAAGGUAACGGCUUACCAAGGCUGCGAUGUCUAGGGGCUCUGAGAGGAGAAUCCCCCACACUGGUACUGAGACACGGACCAGACUCCUACGGGAGGCAGCAGUAAGGAAUAUUGGUCAAUGGACGGAAGUCUGAACCAGCCAUGCCGCGUGCAGGAGGACGGCCCUAUGGGUUGUAAACUGCUUUUAUACGGGAACAAACGUCGGUACGUGUACCGGUCUGAGUGUACCGUAAGAAUAAGGAUCGGCUAACUCCGUG
rnacentral:rRNA from 1 species